AACGAACGCUGGCGGCAUGCCUAACACAUGCAAGUCGAACGAGACCUUCGGGUCUAGUGGCGCACGGGUGCGUAACGCGUUGGAACCUGCCCUUAGGUUCGGAAUAACUCCCCGAAAGGGGUGCUAAUACCGGAUAAUGUCUUCGGACCAAAGAUUUAUCGCCUUUGGAUGGGCCCGCGUUGGAUUAGCUAGUUGGUAGGGUAAAAGCCUACCAAGGCGACGAUCCAUAGCUGGUCUGAGAGGAUGAUCAGCCACACUGGGACUGAGACACGGCCCAGACUCCUACGGGAGGGAGCAGUGGGGAAUAUUGGACAAUGGGCGAAAGCCUGAUCCAGCAAUGCCGCGUGAGUGAUGAAGGCCUUAGGGUUGUAAAGCUCUUUUACCCGGGAUGAUAAUGACAGUACCGGGAGAAUAAGCUCCGGCUAACUCCGUG
rnacentral:rRNA from 1 species